rnacentral:rRNA from 1 species
UAGGGAAUCUUGGGCAAUGGGCGAAAGCCUGACCCAGCGAUGCCGCGUGUGUGAAGAAGGCCUUAGGGUUGUAAAGCACUUUCAGCAGCGAAGAAAUGCCGGGAGCCAAUACCUCCUCGGUUUUGACGUUAACUGCAGAAGAAGCACCGGCUAACUCCGUGCCAGCAGCCGCGGUAAUACGGAGGGUGCGAACGUUAAUCGGAAUUACUGGGCGUAAAGCGCGCGUAGGCGGUUCGGUCAGUGGGAUGUGAAAGCCCCGGGCUUAACCUGGGAAUUGCAUUCCAAACUGCCGGGCUAGAGUAUGGUAGAGGGAGGUAGAAUUUCCUGUGUAGCGGUGAAAUGCGUAGAUAUAGGAAGGAAUACCGGUGGCGAAGGCGGCCUCCUGGACCAAUACUGACGCUGAGGUGCGAAAGCGUGGGGAGCAAACAGGAUUAGAUACCCCCGUAGUCC